GGCGGCGUGGAUAAGACAUGCAAGUCGAGCGAGAUUUUUUCUUGUAGCAAUACAGGGAAAAGUCUAGCGGCGAACGGGUGCUUAACACGUGGGCAACCUGCCAAGAAGUGGGGGAUAGCUCGCCGAAAGGCGAAUUAAUACCGCAUGUGAUCAGAGUGGACAUCCAUUCGAAAUCAAAGUCGGGGCAACCUGACGCUUCUUGAGGGGCCCGCGGCCUAUCAGCUAGUUGGUGAGGUAACGGCCCACCAAGGCUUAGACGGGUAGCUGGUCUGAGAGGACGACCAGCCACACUGGGACUGAGACACGGCCCAGACACCUACGGGUGGCAGCAGUCGAGAAUUUUUCUCAAUGGGGGAAACCCUGAAGGAGCGACGCCGCGUGGAGGAUGAAGGUCUUCGGAUUGUAAACUCCUGUCAUUGGGGAACAAUGCGCAAAUAUUAACUGUAUUUGCGUUGAUAGUACCCGAAGAGGAAGGGACGGCUAACUCUGUGCCAGCAGCCGCGGUAAUACAGA
rnacentral:rRNA from 1 species